AGAAACUCGGCAGGCUGAACGCAUUGCCAGAGGAACUCACCUCUCUGAUGGAGGCUACGCUUGGCGUGCAUUUCCUCUGAGCAGGCACAUCAGCCAAGAAAAGCCAGAAAAUGAAGCUGAAAGCCGCUCAGUGCUCCUGUAGGAACGUACCGCCAAAACCAAUGCCUACCUGCAAACCCAGUGUGACUAAUCUGCAUCUGAAAGAGUUUUAUAAGAUGUGAUCAUCUCUUAACCCUAGUAAGUGAUGCUGAGAUGAAGAUUCAAUGGACACUCUCAUAAGAUAUUCUACGAGUGACUCCAAACAUAGCACAGGGAGGCGGCCGCAUGAGACAGCCAUUGCAGGCUCCGGUGUCUGCAGGAUCUGCGUUACAGAUGUUAUUUUCUCAGAGCUGUUUGUUUUGUAAUUUUGCUGUUAUCUAUUAACCUUGACAAAAAAGGAUGCUCAGAAAGACAUGGCAUUUCUGUGCUUUGCAUUAUUGACCCUUUCUUUUUCUUUUUUUUUUUUUCUUUUUUUUCUUUUUUUUUCUUUUUUUUUUUUUUAAUUAAAUUCUGUGGCUUUGGAAGGACAUUACCUUUCAAAGGAAAAAGUA